rnacentral:tRNA from 1 species
CGCUGCAUGAUGCGGCAUUUGCCGGCGGGGCGCCAAUCGGGCGCCGAGGGAACCCGGGCCGGGCACGCCGCGCGAGCCCGGCGUGCCGCGGCGG